rnacentral:rRNA from 2 species
UGAAGAAGGGUUUCGGCUCGUAAAGCUCUGUUGUUAGAGAAGAACGUGCGUGAGAGCAACUGUUCACGCAUUGACGGUAUCUAACCAGAAAGUCACGGCUAACUACGUGCCAGCAGCCGCGGUAAUACGUAGGUGGCAAGCGUUAUCCGGAUUUAUUGGGCGUAAAGCGAGCGCAGGCGGUUUGAUAAGUCUGAUGUGAAAGCCUUUGGCUUAACCAAAGAAGUGCAUCGGAAACUGUCAGACUUGAGUGCAGAAGAGGACAGUGGAACUCCAUGUGUAGCGGUGGAAUGCGUAGAUAUAUGGAAGAACACCAGUGGCGAAGGCGGCUGUCUGGUCUGCAACUGACGCUGAGGCUCGAAAGCAUGGGUAGCGAACAGGAUUAGAUACCCUGGUAGUCCAUGCCGUAAACGAUGAGUGCUAGGUGUUGGAGGGUUUCCGCCCUUCAGUGCCGCAGCUAACGCAUUAAGCACUCCGCCUGGGGAGUACGACCGCAAGGUUGAAACUCAAAGGAAUUGACGGGGGCCCGCACAAGCGGUGGAGCAUGUGGUUUAAUUCGAAGCUACGCGAAGAACCUUACCAGGUCUUGACAUCUUGCGCCAACCCUAGAGAUAAGACGUUUCCUUCGGGAACGCAAUGACAGGUGGUGCAUGGUCGUCGUCAGCUCGUGUCGUGAGAUGUUGGGUUAAGUCCCGCAACGAGCGCAACCCUUGUUACUAGUUGCCAGCAUUCAGUUGGGCACUCUAGUGAGACUGCCGGUGACAAACC